GCGAACUGUUGAACGUAAACUCUCGUAUCCUAAUGGCAGCUGUUAAAUCUAUGAUCUACAGUUUUUGAUUUUACAUUGAAGUCGAAGGUCGCCUCAGUGAUCUCCUCAGAGAAGAAUCUAGGAAGAGUCAGCAGGACCUGACGACUGGCGAUGCACUGUGAAAUCGAAAACACCCGGGCUCGACUUGUGACCCCAGACCCUUAGGUCAUAUCUAUUCACAUCAUAUCCGUGGACGAUACCUACCGAUACCACUGAUCUCUACUACCAGUGAUACCUACAGUACCUGACCAAAGAUUUUUUAUCAAGAGUAGUCAGGGAAUCUUUGGGCAGGGAACCAGACUAGUAACCACCUGUCUUUCUUUCGCCGAUUGGAGGUGCAGUUCAGCUCGGGACAGAUUGCCUCGCGGCCUCAGCGAUUUAUAAAAACAACACAAAGUUUGCACCAGACAAGGCGAUGAUCAGUAGUACAGGGGUCGCUAUAACGUCAACCAAGCACUGUUGUUCAUCAAUCAAUACCGCUGAUGUAAAUUGAACUGGAAUGAUCCUUUGCAUCACGAGGCACAAUCACGGGGCAAGAACUUCACAGACGACUCUUCCCACGUCAAGUGCAAUCGUACAGGCGACCUCGAGCUAAAAAGGCCGCUCUGUAAUCGUCGCAUGUCUCUACUUGGUUUUGUUAUGAUUGCCAGUAUCAGAUAUCCAUAACUGAAACCAAUUCACCUUAGAGAUGCUGGUUUCUUUCUUUCCUUUUUUUUUUACAGACAAAGCAGACAUUUUCUGCUGGGUCACAAUUCAGUCACUGUGUCAGCUUACUUCAUUUUUUAGACUCAAUUCCAGACUCUGCAAGUGGUUGACAUGUUGGUCCUGUUUUCGUGGCAGAAAACAGCUGUCGGUAAACCGCCGAGGUACGGACUGCUCUCGUGCAUAUUUUAUAGCUGCAGGGUUGUAGACGGGAAUUAACCGACGCGGGCGAAUAUAAUGCUCAUAUGGCCGCCAUUAAUUAAGUCUAUAAAAAGUCACUAGAACAGCUGCAUCCGCAAAUGUUUAGUUACGACUUGGGAUCGUGGGCUUUCAUAUCCUAAUUUCAUUUUCUGGUUUGACGAAUUAAAGCGUUCAAGUUUAAUGUGUCGGUAUUUUACCAAGUGGUAACGAUGAAAACAAUGGCAGCUAUUUUUCAAUGUAAGUUAAACUAUCGACAGCCAACAAUUUUGAGAUUUCUUCCUCAAGGGGGAUUUACUUGACCUGUAUUUAGAAACAUAAGUGGUGAGAACAGCGUGCACUAUAUUGCAAUUUUUUUCACCAACUUUCUUCGUGUUUUCUCGGAGCCUCUGUACAUAGCUGGAAGCAGUUCCACGGACAGGCCUUUAGCCGCUGCUUUGAACGAGAUACCAAUUACUUCCUUAAACAGU